CUUCGCGUCAUCCCUCAGAAAGCAAUCUGAAUAUAACAUAUAUAAAUUCAUCUCUGUUGUUCAGCAUUGGUUCACAUGAAAACGGACUGCAAUGAGUACUUCUCCAGCACCCUGCAGUCGAUCAUGGUCUAUAAGCAACGAUUCACUGAGAAGGUAUGUGCAUUUUGCAAGUGAGAGCUGCAUACAAAGCUGUUGUCAGCUUCAGACUGUAACAGGGUUGGAAAUGAAAAUGAUGGAUGGAAAUUACUCGCAUUUGAAACGGAGUUGAGAUAUCAACGACGGUCUGGCUCCUUUGACACAUUCCGGAGUCGCUGGUUACUCAGAUCAAUCUCUCCACAACAGUUCAUCACAGGGGCCAAUGCUAUUGAUGCUGCAAAGCAAUGGGAUGCUGAUCUGGUGGAAGCUAGGUACAUAAAAGAUCUCGAAGAUAAUCGGAGCAUAUACGACAAAAUUCGGGGAGAGCCCAAGCCUCCUUUAGAAACAGAGAAUUCAUUGUGUAUGAACGACGUGAAACCAGGGAAGAUGGCACAUG